GCGUUUUUCUUGAAUUUUUUUCUCGCAUCGUUCGCUACUGCUGGUUCGCUCGAGCUCACUUAAGCUUCAAGCUUCCAUGGCAGAAACUUGAAGCUCUCUUGCUCCCUCUCUCUCCAUCUCUCUCUUCAUCCCUCUCUCCUACUCUCUCUCUCUCUCUCUACCUCUCUCCUACUCUCUCUCUCUCUCUCUACCUCUCUCCUACUCUCUCUCUCAUUAAUUCAAACCCUAGAAAUUGGGGAUUCUUCCAAUAUCAAAGGAUACCAAGGGCUUUCAAGGUUGAGAGGUACAAAGACAGAGAAAUCUUUGGGGUUGAAACUAAGAGGGGAGAUCCUAGAGGAUCCAAAGAUCCAAAAAGAAAUCGUACAAAGAGUUAGUUAGAGAGAAGUCAAACAAGGACCUUGAAAAUGAGCUUGAUGAUAAAGCUAAUUGGCCAAAGCCUAUUGAAGACCCUUUUAUUCAUCUAUUAUACGAAGAGGCAAACAAAAAGGCUUGCAAACCAAUACUUUAGAUAAGAAUGAGUGGGCUGGGAUAGAAAAGAAGUUGUUUGACAAGUUUGGGAAGAGAUACAAUUGUGACAAAUUGAAGCGGAAAUAUAACUGACUGCACAAGAUUCAUCGUGAGUUUGGAAAGCUCAUUUCUCAUACCGAGAUGGGUUGGGACCCAAACAUGAACACUGUUCAAGCAUUUGAAGAAGUUUGGGCAUCAUAUGUCAAGGUAUGCAUCUUGUUGUGUAACUUGUAUUGUUUUGGUAUCCUUCAAUGUAUGUGCAUUUUCUAAUGCCAAGACUGAAGUUUCAUUGGCAAGGCUUAAGUGUAAGAGUGAGAAGGAAGUAUCCUCUCCAUAUAGAGAAUUGAGCACCAUUGAGGAUUCUAUAGAAAUAUUGGAGGCCAUGGAGGGAGUGAAUGAUGAUGCUCAUGUGAAAGCUUUGGAUAAGUUUACUAAUUUAGAUUGGAGGAAGAUGUUCUUGAAGAUGUUGGAUCCGCGGAGAAGAGUGUGGCUCAAUAGCCUACUAAAGUGAACGAGAGUGAAUGAUUAGUCGUAAUUUAUUUAGAUUAAAUGAUUAAUUGAG